UGUCUCCACAGGCGGACAUUAAGAUCCCGGGGCUUCCUCUGAAGAUCGUGAUGGAGGCCAUACAGCAGGCCACAGUGGCCAAACGGGAGAUCUUAGGCAUCAUGAACAAGGUCAUCUCCAAACCCAGGAGCUCCAGGAAGGAGAACGGCCCGCUCGUUGAGAACGUCAAAGUGCCUCUAUCUAGACGAGCUCUGUUUGUGGGUCCGGGAGGAUUCAAUCUGCGCAGACUGCAGGCUCAGACAGGUGUGUGAUUGUGAGUGUGUGCG